GCCCUGAUAGUAUAAACAUUACUUUGGUCUUGUAAACCAAAAAUGAGGGGUAUCCUCUCAGGACAAUAAA
rnacentral:tRNA from 1 species